rnacentral:rRNA from 1 species
AGAGGGAGCUAUAAUGCAGUCGAGCGGACUUCUUAAAGCUUGCUUUUAUAGAAGUCAGCGGCGGACGGGUGAGUAACACGUGGGCAACCUGCCUGUAAGACUGGGAUAACUUCGGGAAACCGGAGCUAAUACCGGAUAAUAUAAGGAACCUCCUGGUUCUUUAUUGAAAGAUGGUUUCGGCUAUCACUUACAGAUGGGCCCGCGGCGCAUUAGCUAGUUGGUGAGGUAACGGCUCACCAAGGCAACGAUGCGUAGCCGACCUGAGAGGGUGAUCGGCCACACUGGGACUGAGACACGGCCCAGACUCCUACGGGAGGCAGCAGUAGGGAAUCUUCCACAAUGGACGAAAGUCUGAUGGAGCAACGCCGCGUGAGCGAUGAAGGCCUUCGGGUCGUAAAGCUCUGUUGUUAGGGAAGAACAAGUGCGAGAGUAACUGCUCGCACCUUGACGGUACCUAACCAGAAAGCCACGGCUAACUACGUGCCAGCAGCCGCGGUAAUACGUAGGUGGCAAGCGUUGUCCGGAAUUAUUGGGCGUAAAGCGCGCGCAGGUGGUCCUUUAAGUCUGAUGUGAAAGCCCACGGCUCAACCGUGGAGGGUCAUUGGAAACUGGGGGACUUGAGUGCAGAAGAGGAAAGUGGAAUUCCAAGUGUAGCGGUGAAAUGCGUAGAGAUUUGGAGGAACACCAGUGGCGAAGGCGACUUUCUGGUCUGUAACUGACACUGAGGCGCGAAAGCGUGGGGAGCAAACAGGAUUAGAUACCCUGGUAGUCCACGCCGUAAACGAUGAGUGCUAAGUGUUAGAGGGUUUCCGCCCUUUAGUGCUGCA